UGGGGAAUUUUCCGCAAUGGGCAAAGCCUGACGGAGCAAUGCCGCGUGGAGGUGGAAGGCCUACGGGUCGUCAACUUCUUUUUCUCGGAGAAGAAACAAUGACGGUAUCUGAGGAAUAAGCAUCGGCUAACUCUGUGCCAG
rnacentral:rRNA from 1 species